AUACGUAGGGGGCGAGCGUUGUCCGGAAUGAUUGGGCGUAAAGGGCGCGUAGGCGGCCCGGUAAGUCUGGGGUGAAAGUCCUGUUUUUAACAUGGGACUUGCUUUGGAUACUGUCGGGCUUGAGUGCAGGAGAGGUAAGUGGAAUUCCCAGUGUAGCGGUGAAAUGCGUAGAGAUUGGGAGGAACACCAGUGGCGAAGGCGACUUACUGGACUGUAACUGACGCUGAGGCGCGAAAGUGUGGGGAGCAAACAGGAUUAGAUACCCUGGUAGUCCACACUGUAAACGAUGAAUGCUAGGUGUAGGGGGUAUCGACCCCUUCUGUGCCGCAGUCAACACAAUAAGCAUUCCGCCUGGGGAGUACGGCCGCAAGGUUGAAACUCAAAGGAAUUGACGGGG
rnacentral:rRNA from 1 species